UAGUUUUAUACAUUUUAUUUUUUAUUUUGGAACUACAUAAACAUACGGACAGACAAACCAACUAUCACAAAACCACACAAUUAGAGAGAAUGUGAGAUGACAUGGUUAUUUACAAACAUUAGCAAUCAUAAACAACAUUGAUGAAAUUAUCUCCCCUUUCACACAAAUCAUGUCACCUGGUCAACCGUCAACAUUCAAAAAGUUACAAAAAUAAAAAUAUUUUGCACUAUCCAGCCAUUCUAAAGCAGCAAUUCUCUAGAACACCUUUGGAAUUGUGAUUUAAAAAAAAAAAAAAGGCAGUGACAGUUCUAUCAAACUUCUCAUUGGUACAUAUCUUUGAAGAAAAAAACAACAUGCAAUCUCAUUUAAAAAAAAACAAAAAACUAUUUACACAAUGUCCUCUCUCACAUCUGCAGCAAUUAUCUCCCCUAGCCCAAACAACACUUAUUGAUUUUAGAUUCCAGUCUGAGGUCUGGGCUUUAAAUAGAAGCAACAAGAAUUAUGAAACAAGCAAGCAUGUCCUCCUUGACCAAAAAAAUGUUUAAUUGUUUAUCUUUUAGAUGUCAUGAUUAAACAAUUCUGUGUUGGCUGCAUAAAAUAGAAGUCUUUAGGAUUAGAAGAACAAGUAAAAAAAAAAAGGUAAAAUAAACUUUGCUCUGUGAUGACACAUUCAGAAUCAAUGUCUCUUUAGUUCAAAGACUAGUAGACAGUUUUAAAUAAAGGAAGUGGUACAAAUACCACUUGGUGAACAAAAUCUGUUGUGUACUUUCUAAGCUGAAACCAGUGGCACAUACAAUCCCUGUUUUAAAGCUUAAUAAAAAAAUGUGUAAUACAUGUUGGAUGUUCCUUUAGAGCUGAAGACUAUUACAUCCUAAUCAAAAUAUCCCACAGGAUGGCAGUGGGCAGGGUUUAAUCCUUAUUGAGAUGAACGUCCAGUGUAUACCACAUGACCAGAUGCCAUCCUUUUUAUUUUAAAAUAAAAAAUCUAUGACAGUUUGUUUUUAAAAAGAGCAAAAUGCCCCCCCCCCCCCC